rnacentral:rRNA from 1 species
UCAAGCAAGAAAGAGCACAAGGAGAAUGCCUUGGCACUAGGAGCCGAUGAAAGACGUGGUAAGCUGCGAAAAGCUUCGGGGAGGCGCAAACAGCCAUCGAUCCGGAGAUAUCUGAAUGGGGAAACCUACUUGAGCAAACCUCAAGUAUCCAUGCGUGAAUCCAUAGCGUAUGGAAGGGAACGCUGUGAACUGAAACAUCUAAGUAGCAGUAGGAGGAGAAAGAAAACUCGAUUUCCUAAGUAGCGGCGAGCGAACGGGAAAGAGGCCAAACCGAAGGACCUGGUUCUUCGGGGUUGUGGACUGCAUUUAGCAUUGCUGAGAGAUAGACGAAUGGUUUUGGGAAAGCCAGCCGUAGACGGUGAAAGCCCGGUAGACGAAAUCUUGAAGCAGCGAGCAGGAUCCAGAGUACCACGAGACACGAGAAACCUUGUGGGAAGCCGGGGGGACCACCCCCCAAGCCUAAAUACUCCCUAGUGACCGAUAGUGAAGCAGUACUGUGAAGGAAAGGUGAAAAGGACCCCGGGAGGGGAGUGAAAGAGAACCUGAAACCUUGUGCUUACAAACAGUCAAAGGCCUACGGGCUGAUGGCGUACUUUUUGUAGAACGGUCCGGCGAGUUACUAAUGCCAGCGAGGUUAAGUGGUCAGAAGCCACGGAGCCGAAGGGAAACCAAGUCUGAAUAGGGCGUAGAGUUGGUAUUAGUAGACCCGAAACCGGGUGACCUAUCCAUGUCCAGGUUGAAGGAACCGUAAAAGGUUUUGGAGGACCGAACACACAUGUGUUGAAAAACGUGGUGAUGAGGUGUGGAUAGCGGAGAAAUUCCAAUCGAACUCGGAGAUAGCUGGUUCUCCUCGAAAUAGCUUUAGGGCUAGCCUCGAGCUGGAGUCUAACGGAGGUAAAGCACUGAACUGACGCGGGGCCCAAAAAGGUUACCAACUCAUAUCAAACUAAGAAUGCCGUCAAGAUACCCUCGGGAGUCAGUCUGCGUGAGAUAAGUCGCGUGGACAAAAGGGAAAGAGCCCAGACCGACAGCUAAGGUCCCAAAGUACGUGUUAAGUGGAAAAGGAUGUGGGAUUUCAUAGACAACUAGGAUGUUGGCUUAGAAGCAGCCAUACAUUUAAAGAGUGCGUAAUAGCUCACUAGUCGAGAAAACCUGCGCCGAAAAUGUAACGGGGCUAAAACACGACACCGAAGCUACGGAUUUCCUACUAGGUAGGAAGUGGUAGAGGAGCAUCCUGCAAGGACGAAGCCAAAGUGAGAGCGAUGGUGGACGAAACAGGAGAGAGAAUGCCGGAAUGAGUAGCGAGAUACAUGUGAGAAACAUGUAGGCCGAAUAUCUAAGGAUUCCUGGGUAAAGCUAAUCUUCCCAGGGUUAGUCGGGGCCUAAGGCGAGGACGAGAGUCGUAGUCGAUGGAUAACAGGUUGAUAUUCCUGUACUACACAUAAUCAGAACUGUGGGGACGCAGGAGGAUAGGGAAACCGGGGAAUGGAAAGACCCGGUCAAGCGCAAAGCUGUGGGAGAUAGGCAAAUCCGUCUCUUGUAAGUGAAGCGUGAUGAGGACUGAAAAAAAGUAAGGAAGUUUCCGAAUCCACACUGCCGAGAAAAGCCGCUAUUGCGUUAUGUGUACCCGUACCGUAAACCGACACAGGUAGAUGAGGAGAAAAUCCACAGGCCGACGGGAGAAGUGUUGUUAAGGAACUCGGCAAAAUGACCCCGUAACUUCGGGAUAAGGGGAGCCUCGCAAGAGGCCGCAGAAAAGAGGCACAAGCAACUGUUUAGCAAAAACAUAGGUCUAUGCGAAACCGUAAGGUGAAGUAUAUGGGCUGACGCCUGCCCGGUGCUGGAAGGUUAAAAGGAGAGGUCAGCGCAAGCGAAGCUUUGAAUUCAAGCCCCAGUAAACGGCGGCCGUAACUAUAACGGUCCUAAGGUAGCGAAAUUCCUUGUCAGGUAAGUUCUGACCCGCACGAAUGG